rnacentral:rRNA from 1 species
CCCCCAGUAGCGGCGAGCGAACGGGGAGCAGCCCAGAGCCUGAAUCAGUGUGUGUGUUAGUGGAAGCGUCUGGAAAGGCGCGCGAUACAGGGUGACAGCCCCGUACACAAAAAUGCACAUAUUGUGAGCUCGAUGAGUAGGGCGGGACACGUGGUAUCCUGUCUGAAUAUGGGGGGCCCAUCCUCCAAGGCUAAAUACUCCUGACUGACCGAUAGUGAACCAGUACCGUGAGGGAAAGGCGAAAAGAACCCCGGCGAGGGGAGUGAAAAAGAACCUGAAACCGUGUACGUACAAGCAGUGGGAGCACGCUUAGGCGUGUGACUGCGUACCUUUUGUAUAAUGGGUCAGCGACUUAUAUUCUGUAGCAAGGUUAACCGAAUAGGGGAGCCGAAGGGAAACCGAGUCUUAACUGGGCGUUAAGUUGCAGGGUAUAGACCCGAAACCCGGUGAUCUAGCCAUGGGCAGGUUGAAGGUUGGGUAACACUAACUGGAGGACCGAACCGACUAAUGUUGAAAAAUUAGCGGAUGACUUGUGGCUGGGGGUGAAAGGCCAAUCAAACCGGGAGAUAGCUGGUUCUCCCCGAAAGCUAUUUAGGUAGCGCCUCGUGAAUUCAUCUCCGGGGGUAGAGCACUGUUUCGGCAAGGGGGUCAUCCCGACUUACCAACCCGAUGCAAACUGCGAAUACCGGAGAAUGUUAUCACGGGAGACACACGGCGGGUGCUAACGUCCGUCGUGAAGAGGGAAACAACCCAGACCGCCAGCUAAGGUCCCAAAGUCAUGGUUAAGUGGGAAACGAUGUGGGAAGGCCCAGACAGCCAGGAUGUUGGCUUAGAAGCAGCCAUCAUUUAAAGAAAGCGUAAUAGCUCACUGGUCGAGUCGGCCUGCGCGGAAGAUGUAACGGGGCUAAACCAUGCACCGAAGCUGCGGCAGCGACGCUUAUGCGUUGUUGGGUAGGGGAGCGUUCUGUAAGCCUGCGAAGGUGUGCUGUGAGGCAUGCUGGAGGUAUCAGAAGUGCGAAUGCUGACAUAAGUAACGAUAAAGCGGGUGAAAAGCCCGCUCGCCGGAAGACCAAGGGUUCCUGUCCAACGUUAAUCGGGGCAGGGUGAGUCGACCCCUAAGGCGAGGCCGAAAGGCGUAGUCGAUGGGAAACAGGUUAAUAUUCCUGUACUUGGUGUUACUGCGAAGGGGGGACGGAGAAGGCUAUGUUGGCCGGGCGACGGUUGUCCCGGUUUAAGCGUGUAGGCUGGUUUUCCAGGCAAAUCCGGAAAAUCAAGGCUGAGGCGUGAUGACGAGGCACUACGGUGCUGAAGCAACAAAUGCCCUGCUUCCAGGAAAAGCCUCUAAGCAUCAGGUAACAUCAAAUCGUACCCCAAACCGACACAGGUGGUCAGGUAGAGAAUACCAAGGCGCUUGAGAGAACUCGGGUGAAGGAACUAGGCAAAAUGGUGCCGUAACUUCGGGAGAAGGCACGCUGAUAUGUAGGUGAAGUCCCUUGCGGAUGGAGCUGAAAUCAGUCGAAGAUACCAGCUGGCUGCAACUGUUUAUUAAAAACACAGCACUGUGCAAACACGAAAGUGGACGUAUACGGUGUGACGCCUGCCCGGUGCCGGAAGGUUAAUUGAUGGGGUCAGCGCAAGCGAAGCUCUUGAUCGAAGCCCCGGUAAACGGCGGCCGUAACUAUAACGGUCCUAAGGUAGCGAAAUUCCUUGUCGGGUAAGUUCCGACCUGCACGAAUGGCGUAAUGAUGGCCAGGCUGUCUCCACCCGAGACUCAGUGAAAUUGAACUCGCUGUGAAGAUGCAGUGUACCCGCGGCAAGACGGAAAGACCCCGUGAACCUUUACUAUAGCUUGACACUGAACAUUGAGCCUUGAUGUGUAGGAUAGGUGGGAGGCUUUGAAGUGUGGACGCCAGUCUGCAUGGAGCCGGCCUUGAAAUACCACCCUUUAAUGUUUGAUGUUCUAACGUGGACCCGUGAUCCGGGUUGCGGACAGUGUCUGGUGGGUAGUUUGACUGGGGCGGUCUCCUCCUAAAGAGUAACGGAGGAGCACGAAGGUUGGCUAAUCCUGGUCGGACAUCAGGAGGUUAGUGCAAUGGCAUAAGCCAGCUUGACUGCGAGCGUGACGGCGCGAGCAGGUGCGAAAGCAGGUCAUAGUGAUCCGGUGGUUCUGAAUGGAAGGGCCAUCGCUCAACGGAUAAAAGGUACUCCGGGGAUAACAGGCUGAUACCGCCCAAGAGUUCAUAUCGACGGCGGUGUUUGGCACCUCGAUGUCGGCUCAUCACAUCCUGGGGCUGAAGUAGGUCCCAAGGGUAUGGCUGUUCGCCAUUUAAAGUGGUACGCGAGCUGGGUUUAGAACGUCGUGAGACAGUUCGGUCCCUAUCUGCCGUGGGCGCUGGAGAACUGAGGGGGGCUGCUCCUAGUACGAGAGGACCGGAGUGGACGCAUCACUGGUGUUCGGGUUGUCAUGCCAAUGGCACUGCCCGGUAGCUAAAUGCGGAAGAGAUAAGUGCUGAAAGCAUCUAAGCACGAAACUUGCCCCGAGAUGAGUUCUCCCUGACCCUUUAAGGGUCCUGAAGGAACGUUGAAGACGACGACGUUGAUAGGCCGGGUGUGUAAGCGCAGCGAUGCGUUGAGCUAACCGGUACUAAUGAACCGUGAGGCUUAACCUUACAACGCCGAAG